UACAGAGGUCUCAACCGUUGUUCGGAUUCAUUGGGCGUAAAGGGUGCGUAGGCGGUCGCGCAAGUCGGAUGUGAAAUCUCAGGGCUCAACCCUGAAACUGCAUUCGAUACUGCGUGGCUAGAGUGCUGGAGGGGAGACUGGAAUUUACGGUGUAGGCAGUGAAAUGCGUAGAUAUCGUAAGGAAGACCAGUGGCGAAGGCGAGUCUCUGGACAGCAACUGACGCUGAGGCACGAAGGCCAGGGGAGCAAACGGGAUAGAAAC
rnacentral:rRNA from 1 species